rnacentral:rRNA from 1 species
GACGAACGCUGGCGGCGUGCCUAAUACAUGCAAGUCGAACGCUGAAGAGAGGCGCUCGCCCUUCUUGGGUGAGUUGCGGACGGGUGAGUCACGUGUAGGUAACCUGCCUUAUAGCGGUGGAUCACUAAUGGACACGUUAGCUCAUCCUGCAUAACAAGGGUUGACACAUGUCAUUUAUUAGUAAUGGGCAAUUUCUCAUCUACAUGCGUGACCUGCGUUGUAUUAGGUAGUAGGUGCGGUAAUGGCCCACCUAGGCGGCGAUACAUAGCCGAACGGGGAGGGGGGGCGGCCACCCUGGGACUGGGACACGGGCCAGACUCCAACGGGAGGCAGCAGUAGGGAAUCUUCGGCAAGGGGGGCAACCCUGAACGAGCAACGCCGCGGGAGGGAAGAAGGAUGUCGGAUCGUAAAGCUCGGUUGUAAGUCAAGAAGGGGUGUGAGAGUGGAAAGUUCACACUGUGACGGUAGCUUACCAGAAAGGGACGGCUAACUACGUG